rfam:Desulfobacterales bacterium S5133MH16 k99_736399, whole genome shotgun sequence.
GUCGCUGCGAGGCGGGGUCUGAAGGAAGCCUGAGCGCAAAGUUAUGAGCCGACGAACAGAAACAGCAUAUAAGGCCCAGUCUCCGGGUAAGUUAGCACAACAUAACGAAGCCCUGGAUUCAGGGGAUAGGGUAAAUGCUGCGGUUGCAUAGCGAAAGUUCACGUU